rnacentral:rRNA from 1 species
GAUGAACGCUGGCGGCGUGCUUAACACAUGCAAGCCGCACGGUGAAGCAGGAGCUUGCUCUUGUGGAUCAGUGGCGAACGGGUGAGUAACACGUGAGCAACCUGCCCCUGACUCUGGGAUAAGCGCUGGAAACGGCGUCUAAUACUGGAUAUGUGAUGUGACCGCAUGGUCUGCAUCUGGAAAGAAUUUCGGUUGGGGAUGGGCUCGCGGCCUAUCAGCUUGUUGGUGAGGUAAUGGCUCACCAAGACGUCGACGGGUAGCCGGCCUGAGAGGGUGACCGGCCACACUGGGACUGAGACACGGCCCAGACUCCUACGGGAGGCAGCAGUGGGGAAUAUUGCACAAUGGGCGGAAGCCUGAUGCAGCAACGCCGCGUGAGGGAUGACGGCCUUCGGGUUGUAAACCUCUUUUAGCAGGGAAGAAGCGAAAGUGACGGUACCUGCAGAAAAAGCACCGGCUAACUACGUGCCAGCCGCCGCCGUAA